UUAUUUCUAGGCUCUGUAUGCCAUUCCAGUGAUUUAUGUGUCUAUUCUUUCUCGAGUACCACACUGUUUUAAUUGCUGUAGCAUCAUAGUAAGUCUUGAAGCUGGGAAAUUUCAGUCCUUUUCAUGACAAUGAGUAUGACAAUGAAUUUUUGGAUAUGUCAUUGAAAAUCCAGAGUGAUAAGAGCUAUGUUUGGUUUGGCUCUCUGAGAAUGAAGGCCUUAUUUUGUUCUCAUCUUCACCAAUAGGGGCUCACAAAUUUAGACACAAAGCUCAAUUCUUCCUCAUGGAAAAAUGGAGUUUGAAAGGUAGGUAGUGAAAAUAGUCGAAAAUUAUUUAAUGAAUGUUAAUCCUAUGUCCUGCACAAAAGGAUCCUAUCAGACUCUCAAAUCCUUUUGGCCUUUCCACCUACUUCAUCUCUACUGAAUAUUAGUUCUAGGUUUAUAUCACAAUAUAGACUACUGUUCUUCUCUCAUCCUAGUUUCAAGGCA
rnacentral:lncRNA from 1 species